UACGGGGGGGGCAAGCGUUGUUCGGAAUUACUGGGCGUAAAGGGGACGUAGGCGGCCAACUAAGUCCGACGUGAAAUCCCAAGGCUUAACCUUGGAACUGCGUCGGAUACUGGAUGGCUUGAGUUUGGGAGAGGGAUGCGGAAUUCCAGGUGUAGCGGUGAAAUGCGUAGAUAUCUGGAGGAACACCGGUGGCGAAGGCGGCAUCCUGGACCAACACUGACGCUGAGUGAGCGAAAGCCAGGGGAGCAAACGGG
rnacentral:rRNA from 1 species